GCAGUAAAGUGCAAUGACACUGUUAUCGGGAUCCCCCUCAAGGGGGCCCCUCUCAGUAGUCGCUGACAGCAGCCAGCCAACCACGUGAUCUCUGCUGCCGGCAAAAUACAAAACCUCCUCGGCAGUCAUGAAGCGAAAUUAUGCUUCAGGAAGCCAGAUGAGAAAGAAGCGAAAGGAAGAGGAGGAUAAGAAAAAACAAGAUAGUGCUACACCAUCAACUUCAUCCUCAACAUCAACAGAUGCAUCACUUCUCAGUGCUGAUGUUUCCUCUAUACUGUAGCACAAGGUACCACAAGCUCUAUAAUUAUAGCUGAUAUCCUGCACAGCCCAGAGUUUAAACUGAUAAGUGUGUGCUGUCAUAUUAUUAGAAAAAAAAAAAAACAGUGCAAAUCACUAUUGAAUUCCCACCAAACUGUGUAAAUACCAGUCACUUUUGCCCAUGGACAUUUCAGAAUUUUUAAUAUACAGUAGUGCCUGUCAAAUUUC
ensembl:lncRNA